rnacentral:rRNA from 1 species
AUCUACGGCCAUGCCACCCUGAACAUGCCCGAUCUCAUCUGAUCUCGGAAGCUAAGCAGGAUUGGGCCUGGUUAAUACUUGGAUGGGAGACCACCUAAGAAGACCAGGUGCUGUAGGCA